AUUCAGUGCCAACAUGAAAAUCCCAAGGCGAACUUGAAAAGCUCUUUCAGAGCUCAGGGGGAAAGAACUAAUAGAUAAAAGCAGGAAGAAUUAGAGAGAUUUGGAGGACAGGAAACCCAGAUAAAAUUUAAGAGCUAUGGCGAUUACUGAGGAAAAAUGAAUGGAACAAAAUGUAAAAACUGGAAGUAUGUUGAAGGAAUCUGUGUGAAUUUGAAAAAGGCAUCUGAAUUUCAAGAUUGAAAUGGCUUUCUACAUUACAGGCAACACACACACACACACUCUGCCUCAUCCCUUCCACCACAUGAGGAACCAGGGAGGAGGUGACCAUUUGUGAACCAGGAGGCAGGUUCUCCCCAGACGCCAAAACUGACAGAGCCUUGAUCUUGGAUAUCUCAGCCCUUCAGAACUGCGAGAAAUGCCUGUCUGGUUUUUCUAAGCCACCCAGUCUAUGGUAUUUUUGUUACAGCAGCCUGAAUGGACUAAGAUAGUCUCCCUGGUACCUUCAUUCAGCUAAAUACCUGCCCCUCCCAGGUGGAAGAGGGGGAAAUGGGCCGACCUACUGGGCGGGUAGAGUUUCUCCUUUCCUCUCUCUAGCUGGACCUCUUUAAAUACAUAUCUUUAAUCUAGAUCAUAAAAACAGUUGGUUCAGGAUGUGUUGGUGUAUGAGGGGGAUUAAGAAAGGUAGACCAAGCUUUCUUUAGAUCAUGCUUGGGAUUUCAAGGUGUCAUCUGCAGCGGAAUCCUAGUUUUGAAUUCUAGAGGCUGAAUUUGACUUUGGUUUCCUUCUAUGCUUUCUUUCUCUAAUAAACCCCUCCAGAGAGAUGGGGCGUUAGAGACUGAUUAGGACUGACUAGGUUGAAGGCUAUUCACAGAAAAAGGCAGAAUGUUAUCAAGUUACCUUCAUAUCAGAUGAUCCAAAUUUAUAUAUUUUGUAUUAUAUGUAUAUCAUGUGUAAAUAUAUAGAGUUCAACAAGUUGUGAACCAUGAUUAUUUCUGAGUAGGAGUCUAAUAGCUAGUUUUUUCCCCUUAUAUUAGCCUGAAAAUUUAUUUUUUCCAAGCUCACUAUAAUGCUCAUGUAUUGCUUUUGUCAUAAAAACACAAUAACUGUUGCUUAAAAAUAUUGUAAAGGUGAAAAGUGCAAGGACUUAUCAUAGCCAAAACAGACAGUAUGUGACAAAAUUCAAAAUGGUGAUAAUAAACUUUAGGACAGAAAUGUAAGUUUCAAUACAGUAAUAAGUCUGUACAAUACUUAAAGGUCAAAAGUAUAAUUUUCCUUUAAAAAUUGAAUGUGCUUAUUUUUAUUUUUUUAAUUGAAAAAGAUGUAUUAAAAUAUUCAUGAAAGUACAGCAAUUGAAAAAGAAAGUAAUGAACUUGAUUUUUUUUUUAACCUAGCUGGGUACGUUUCUCCUGAAAAACUACAGAUAUCGAUUACAGUUUAAUCUCAAGAAAUCCCUUUUAGGUACCCUAUGUGUUUAUUUUUAAAUAAUCAUAAUAUUCAGGUAGCAACUUCCACUCCUUUGUUCAUAAGUUGCUAUGGCUAUUCAUAGUACUUAUUAGACUAAUAUGUGAAAUCAUAAAAUCGUAUUUGAUGUAAAUGGGCAUUGUUUGCAAUCUUCCCGAAACUGAUCUGAUCAUCCGCUUGCUUCUCCUCCUUACUGACGGCAAAUUCUGACAGGAAAAAGCCAGAAUUCUGUUCCAAACCCUGGCUUUCAUCACUUAGUUCUCUCUCUCUUCAACGGGGAGAAAUGGAAAGGGCGUUAUAAAACAGGAACCAUAGCUUGUUGGGGAAGAUGAAUCACCAAGUGAUGAAUCAAAUCGGGGCCACUGAUAGGGCCCUAAAUCAUAAGGGCAGCCUGUCAAAGGGAACCCCCAGAGGAGAUUUAGAACUUGGCACCACUCAUCCAUCUCAUCCAGGGUUCAUUCGAGAUCCCCUGUGCUCAGGUGACAGGUGAUAUUUGGGGAUAAGGACCUCCUGGGGUUCUUAUCAAAAGCUUCUCGGACUAAUUAGAAAGGAGUCAGUCCUCUGCCUUUCCUGGGAGCUGCGUUCCUCUUGCGAGGCGCUAGAAGCGGAUGUCUCCCUUUAUGUGGGUCGCUCCAGUUCCCGCGCAGCUGUUCAGAAUAAGCAGCCAGCUCUGGGCAGACCCCUCCGCCCUUCUCCCGGAAGGAACAAAAGGUCAGUCGGGCAGUACAGCAAGCGCGCGCUGUCUGAAAACUUCUGGAUUAGGAAACUAGAAAAGACGCUCGGUGUGGAGGAGAGUCGUGACAGGCACGUCCCUGAGCGACAGCCCCGCCUCGCCAGAUCCCCACGCGGAGCCCUCAGACCGCCUCGCUGAUUCCUGAUUUCUAGGCUUGCUUCCUGAGCCUUGGUGCUGGGGAAAAGCUAUGCGCCUGUGAUGUGUUAGGAGGGAAUUUUCUAGAAUCACCUGGUUUUCUCUCUGGCAGUUCCACUGUCUCAGUUUACUCUCUUUCUUAAAGUGGAGUUAGCUGUGGACCAGUGGCCCUAGGUUGAGCCCCUCCUCAUUGAUGGAUGUUCUGUUAACUCUCUUCUUCAGACUUUUUCUUUAGCUCAGUUUAAACAUGGAGUUGUCAUCCACGCCACCAUUUGAGUUUGGCCAGAGAAGUGAACAGAGCACCCAGCAAACUGGUUCAAAUGUAAUGAUGUUAAUUGAGCAGGGGAGGGGCGGGGGAUACAUUGGGGGGAUGGGGUUGGCACAUGCACACUACUAUCUAACAGGGACCUGCUGUAUACACAGGGAGGACUGUUCAAUGUUUUGUAAUAAUUGGUAUGAGAAAAAAGAAUGGAUAUAUAUAUAUAUAUAUAUAAUUCACUUUGCUAUAAAUCUAAAGCUAAUAAUACAACAUUGUAAAUCAACUACACCCCAAUUUUAAAGAAUGUUGUAAAUUUUAAAAUAAUUAUUUUAAAAAAGAUUUCAGGAGUUCCCGUCAUGGCGCAGUGGUUAACGAAUCCGACUAGGAACCAUGAGGUUGCGGGUUCGAGCCCUGGCCUUGCUCAGUGGGUUAAGGAUCCGGCGUUGCCGUGAGCUGUGGUGUAGGUUGCAGACGUGGCUCGGAUCCCGUGUUGCUGUGGCUCUGGUGUAGGCUGGCGGCUACAGCUCCGAUUGGACCCCUAGCCUGGGAACCUCCAUAUGCCGCGGGAGUGGCCCUAGAAACGGCAAAAAGAC
rnacentral:lncRNA from 1 species